CUGAUAUGGUAGCACAUGUUGGAGACUUGGACUCGCUAAGAUUCUUGUUGAGGGAAGCUCAAUUGUCCAACAGUCGACGAGUUCGAUGGCAUCUAGAGGGACAAAGGUUAGUGCAAUAUCUUCUUCUUUUCUAUAUUUAUGAAUUAUGAUUAUGUUACUUCCUUAAGGUGAAGCAUGCUGAUGGAAGAACUUAAACAUGCGCUACUGAAGUUACUAAUCUUCCAUCCAACCCCUAUAGUCCUGAUUGACUUUGCCUUUAGCCCUAGGUCAAAAAUUUGCCAUCGAAGGUCAUUGCCAGGGGGGCCUUUAGUCCCGGUUAUAAAGAUCAACUGGGACUAAAGCUCCUCCCCCUAGUCCCGGUUGUAACGGCUAUAAAAAAUCACACCGACGCCGCCCUCCUUUUGUUCCGGUUGGAAGGGAUUAAAGAUUUAGUCCCGGUUGAAAAUUCCAACCGGGAUAAAAGGGGACCUUUAGCCCCCUCCCCCCCCCCUCCCUCUACUUAUCCUCUCCCCUCCCUUAUCUCGCACAGCAGUCCCUCUUCUUCCUUAUUUCUCUCCUCCUUUCCCUUCCUUCGAGGCGGAGUGGACGGGGGAGGGGGGGUCGCAAGCGGAUGGCCGGGCGGGCGGCGCGGCUGGGUCCAUUUUUUUUAUUUUUUUGAAAUUUUUUAGUCUCGGUUGGUAAAAACCAACCGGAACUAAA
rnacentral:lncRNA from 1 species